CAGCAGCCGCGGUAAUGCGAAGGGGGCUAGCGUUGCUCGGAAUUACUGGGCGUAAAGGGCGCGUAGGCGGACAUUUAAGUCAGAGGUGAAAGCCCAGGGCUCAACCUUGGAACUGCCUUUGAUACUGGGUGUCUAGAGUGCGGGAGAGGUGUGUGGAACUCCGAGUGUAGAGGUGAAAUUCGUAGGUAUUCGGAAGAACACCAGUGGCGAAGGCGACACACUGGCCCGUAACUGACGCUGAGGCGCGAAAGCGUGGGGAGCAAACAGGAUUAGAUACCCGAGUAGUCCCUGUCUCUUAUAC
rnacentral:rRNA from 1 species